UAUGGCCACAUCACGCUGAAACACUGAUUCCCAUAUAACUGUCAAAUUUAAGCAACAUUGAGCCUGGUCAGUACCUAGAUGGGUGACCAUUUGGGAAUACCAGGUGCUGUAA